CCUACGGGUCGCACCAGUGGGGAAUAUUGCACAAUGGGCGCAAGCCUGAUGCAGCCAUGCCGCGUGUGUGAAGAAGGCCUUCGGGUUGUAAAGCACUUUCAGCGAGGAGGAAGGUGGUGAACUUAAUACGUUCAUCAAUUGACGUUACUCGCAGAAGAAGCACCGGCUAACUCCGUGCCAGCAGCCGCGGUAAUACGGAGGGUGCAAGCGUUAAUCGGAAUUACUGGGCGUAAAGCGCACGCAGGCGGUUUGUUAAGUCAGAUGUGAAAUCCCCGGGCUCAACCUGGGAACUGCAUUUGAAACUAGCAAGCUAGAGUCUCGUAGAGGGGGGUAGAAUUCCAGGUGUAGCGGUGAAAUGCGUAGAGAUCUGGAGGAAUACCGGUGGCGAAGGCGGCCCCCUGGACGAAGGCUGACGCUCAGGUGCGAAAGCGUGGGGAGCAAACAGGAUUAGAUACCCUCGUAGUC
rnacentral:rRNA from 1 species